CGAUUUCCCUUCUUUUGUGAAGUUGAUCUCUUUUGGGAAGUCCUUUGAAAGAUCAGCAUUUACAAAGACUUUUUCUACCUUGAAGUUGGAGCAUGAUGCCAUUUCUGGGUGUAGUCUAACCGGGAACCCCACUGCGCUGGUGAUGAAGCUCAGUCCUUCCCAAGAAAACAUGUGCAUCGGUACAUUUUUCAAGUGAACCCAGAGUGAAAUUGAUUUCACCUCAGGUUUCUCUUCCAACUCCUUCGGAAUCCACUUGGUUACCACUAAAGGUAUGUUCCUGAUGUUCCACAUCCCCCU
rnacentral:lncRNA from 1 species